AUGACUCGUACUAAAUCGCAAGGCGGAAUGGGGUUCCGUGACAUGAGAAUUUUCAACCAAGCUUUGUUGGCGAAGCAAGCAUGGAGACUUGUUCAAAGGCCGGACAGUAUGUGUGCAAGAGUUUUGAAGUCAAAGUAUUAUCCAAAAGGUAAUAUCAUGGAUACGGUCUUCCCCUCGGAUGCAUCUCCUCUUUGGCGAGGGAUUGAACAUGGGCUUGAGUUAUUAAAGAAGGGCAAUGAUAUGGAGAGUGGGAAAUGGAAAAGGCAUCCAAAUUCGUAG
rnacentral:rRNA from 1 species